rnacentral:rRNA from 1 species
UACGUAGGGGGCAAGCGUUGUCCGGAUUUAUUGGGCGUAAAGAGCGUGUAGGCGGUCAGGUAGGUCCGUUGUGAAAACUCGAGGCUCAACCUCGAGACGCCGAUGGAAACCAUCUGACUAGAGUCCGGAAGAGGAGAGUGGAAUUCCUGGUGUAGCGGUGAAAUGACGCAGAUAUCAGGAGGAACACCGGUGGCGAAGGCGGGUCUCUGGGCCGUAACUGACGCUGAGGAGCGAAAGCGUGGGGAGCGAACAGG